AGUGGAGCGUUUCCUGGGCACGUGGCUUUGCUCCCUUGCAGUUCUUCGCCAUCUCCCGGAAUCCGCAGACAUCUGGCACAUUCCUUCCCGGUCUGCGCCGCGGCUGGGGUGAGGCCGCUGAGGUGCUACAGCCCUCCUGGGCACAGAUGCAGAUUCUCUCGGAUGGCUUUGCUGGUUCUGUACCAGGCAGGGCCUCCUUGGCCCCUGCAAACUUCCCAUGCACACUCCCUGAUGGGCUCUGGCCGUUCAGGGCUGAGGAUGACCCAGAGACAGGUGGACAGAGGUCUAUCUGCCAGUUCACUCCCCAUAUUCCUGCAAUGACCAGGACUGGACCAAGCUGAAGCCAGGAGCUGGCCACCCAAUCCAGUUCUCCCACAUGGGUGGCAGGACCCCAACUACUAGAGCCAUCACCUGCUGACUGCCAGGAUGCACCUUGACGGGAAGCUGGACCAGAACCGGGCACUCUGAUGUGCACCUUGAAGGUGGUGUCCAGCUUACUUCUGGCAGAUGGCAGUGUGCUGCACUUAAAGCAGGAGUGAAAGCAGAAGCUGGAAAGAACAGAGGCGCAGCUGUAAGGUGGGUCUGCUGUGCGGAGCCUCACUGCAGCAGGAGCUGGACCAGAGGCCCUGAGAUCACUCGGUGGUGUUUAUGGACAACAGAGGGACAGAAUGGAUUCGAGAGCACCACGUGAAGUAUCACCAGAAUUGCUUCCUGCUGCUGGCUCAGAGCACCGUGGAACAACUCUGCACAAGAAUCCUGUCCAGGCCUGGGAGACUUGGCUGGCUCUGGCUUUGACCUUAAUAGCCAAGUUUUUCUCUUGGAAUCCCAUCAAUAAACCUUAUAG